rnacentral:rRNA from 1 species
GAUGAACGCUGGCGGCGUGCCUAAUACAUGCAAGUCGAGCGAACAGACGAGGAGCUUGCUCCUCUGACGUUAGCGGCGGACGGGUGAGUAACACGUGGAUAACCUACCUAUAAGACUGGGAUAACUUCGGGAAACCGGAGCUAAUACCGGAUAAUAUAUUGAACCGCAUGGUUCAAUAGUGAAAGACGGUUUUGCUGUCACUUAUAGAUGGAUCCGCGCCGCAUUAGCUAGUUGGUAAGGUAACGGCUUACCAAGGCAACGAUGCGUAGCCGACCUGAGAGGGUGAUCGGCCACACUGGAACUGUGACACGGUCCAGACUCCUACGGGAGGCAGCAGUAGGGAAUCUUCCGCAAUGGGCGAAAGCUUGACGGAGCAACGCCGCGUGAGUGAUGAAGGUCUUCGGAUCGUAAAACUCUGUUAUUAGGGAAGAACAAAUGCGUAAGUAACUAUGCACGUCUUGACGGUACCUAAUCAGAAAGCCACGGCUAACUACGUG